UACGGAGGGGGCUAGCGUUAUUCGGAAUUAUUGGGCGUAAAGGGCGCGUAGGCGGCCCGGUAAGUCAAAGGUGAAAUCCCUCGGCUCAACUGAGGAACUGCCUUUGAAACUGUCGGGCUUGAGGCCGGGAGGGGGUAGCGGAAUUCCUGGUGUAGCGGGUGAAAUGCGUAGAUAUCAGGAGGAACACCGGUGGCGAAGGCGGGUCUCUGGGCCGAUGACUGACGCUGAGGAGCGAAAGCGUGGGGAGCGAACAGGA
rnacentral:rRNA from 1 species